UUCGGAGGGAGCUAGCGUUGUUCGGAAUUACUGGGCGUAAAGCGCACGUAGGCGGCGAUUUAAGUCAGAGGUGAAAGCCCGGGGCUCAACCCCGGAAUAGACUUUGAGACUGGAUUGCUUGAAUCUUGGAGAGGUGAGUGGAAUUCCGAGUGUAGAGGUGAAAUUCGUAGAUAUUCGGAAGAACACCAGUGGCGAAGGCUGCUCACUGGACAAGUAUCGACGCUGAGGUGCGAAAGCGUGGGGAGCAAACAGG
rnacentral:rRNA from 1 species